CUGUGACUUCUCAGAAAGCAGGCGUAUAAACAGUGCUGCUGCUCCCGAUCACGCACUUUCCCCAAACUGGAGCCAGCCAACCAGCUGACUUUAAGACCAGAGCAGCACAAAGCUAGGUUACUUCGGCCUUCGGAACUUCAAAUGGAAGGUCUCCUCUUAUGAAGCCCACAUCACACGGCCCGCUGGUGGCAGCCUGAUACGAGGCCAUCAAGCUAGAUAUCCUGUCGAUAAAGGAGUUUGAUCAUGGAAUACUUAUUAGCAACAUCAGAUUUCUAGACUUGGAAGGAAUUCAUUUCUAGCUCUGCAGAAAUAUCUAUCCACUUUGUAUCUACGGACUUGAGUAGUAGACUAGCUUUCUGACAUUCAGGCCCUUUGCAUCUUUACAUUCCUCAAGUAAGGUCUCCAUGCCCACAUGUCCGUUGUGUUUACACUACAGCACACUGGACAUCACCGUGACUGUCGUGGCCCACAGCCCCCAAGCAUGCCAGCGCUGGGAAUGAUAAAGUUGAGCAGCUGUUCCAAGUUAAAAGAAUGAAGGGAGGUGGCAAUUAAAUGCAAUUCAUGACCUUGAAUCAGGAAGAAGUUUUGCUCUAAA